rnacentral:rRNA from 1 species
UACGGGGGGUGCAAACGUUGCUCGGAAUUAUUGGGCGUAAAGCGCACGUAGGCGGUCCCUUAAGUCGGGUGUGAAAGCCCUCGGCUUAACCGAGGAAGUGCAUUCGAAACUGGGGGACUUGAGUACUGGAGAGGAUGGCGGAAUUCCCGGUGUAGAGGUGAAAUUCGUAGAUAUUCGGAAGAACACCAGUGGCGAAGGCGACUUACUGGACACAUAUUGACGCUGAGGUGCGAAAGCGUGGGGAGCAAACAGG